GGCAAUAAUGCAUCAAAGCAAAAAUGAUAAACAGAUCAAAGAAAGACAAGAUGGUGCUUUAGAAAGCUUUUUCAACAAACUUUAAACGGUCUGUUGUGUCUGCACCCCGCAGCAGAAGCUGAACAAUGCUGUUUCCUAUUCUGUUGCAAACUCUCUGUAACCGGGAGACAAUUUUUCUAUAGAGGAACAAAAAAGGCACUCAGCCUAACAAGUUGAACUCUUGGGUCAGGAUUCCUAGCUCCACCUGCUAAACUGCUGCCAUGUGACUCGUGGUUUUGUAUUUAAGGAGAAUUUCUGACUCAAACCUCAAAGUGACGGACGGUGAGAGUCUUGAGCAACAUUCUGCAGAGGGAGCCUCUGCAAAGUGAAAACCAGGAAGAAAGAGGAGCUGAAUGAAACCUUGCACAUUUUACAGAGCAUGUGCUUUAUUUUUAAACACUACCUGCACCAGAAGCAGGCCUGUCUUCUCGCUGUGAACGACUUCAUUAGCUUUAGAUGUGUAAUUUCAAUGUGAGGCAGUCUCUUUCUACACCCUCCAUCAACGGACAAGCCAUGAAUUAGUUACUGAGUCCUUAGGUGGAGAAGUCAUUACUCGUAUAGAGGUUGAAGGAGCACCUGUGAGAGUUUGUUGGCAAAGCAAAGAAACAUUCAGGAUAUACAUCUUGUCAACAUCGUCUCUCUCUCCCACACACAGUAAACACACAUUUUUAGUUAUAUUUGUUUCUUGCAGAGCCAAACACCCGCACUACAGAGGUCACCAUCGGACACAAAAGAACCCCAAACUUCACCUGCUUCGACAGCAUGAUGAGGCAUUUUUAAUGCAUGUGGGAGACACUUGCAGCAUUGUGAAGUCUUUGUUCUGCUCUGACCUUGCCAUCUUAAAUAAAGUUUUCUUGCUGACACUAA